UAUAUACUCCCUCCGUUCGGAAAUACUUGUUAUCAAAAUGGACAAAAAGGGAUGUAUCUAGAACUAAAAUACAUCUAGAUACAUUCGCUGUUAUUCAUUUUGAUGACAAGUAUUUUUGGACGGAGGGAGUACUAU
rfam:Triticum urartu cultivar G1812 contig420104, whole genome shotgun sequence.